rnacentral:rRNA from 1 species
UACGGAGGAUCCGAGCGUUAUCCGGAUUUAUUGGGUUUAAAGGGUGCGCAGGCGGAAUAUUAAGUCGGCGGUGAAAGUUUGCAGCUUAACUGUAAAAUUGCCGUUGAAACUGGUUUUCUUGAGUGUAUAUGAAGUAGGCGGAAUUUGUAGUGUAGCGGUGAAAUGCAUAGAUAUUACAAGGAACUCCGAUUGCGAAGGCAGCUUACUAAAAUACAACUGACGCUCAGGCACGAAGGCGUGGGUAUCAAACAGGAUUAGAUACCCGGGUAGUCCCUGAGCGGG